AUUGAACGCUGGCGGCAUGCCUUACACAUGCAAGUCGAACGGCAGCGGACCUUCGGGUGCCGGCGAGUGGCGAACGGGUGAGUAAUAUAUCGGAACGUACCUUUCAGUGGGGGAUAACGUAGCGAAAGUUACGCUAAUACCGCAUAUUCUGUGAGCAGGAAAGCAGGGGACCGCAAGACCUUGCGCUGAUUGAGCGGCCGAUAUCAGAUUAGCUAGUUGGUGAGGUAAAGGCUCACCAAGGCGACGAUCUGUAGCGGGUCUGAGAGGAUGAUCCGCCACACUGGAACUGAGACACGGUCCAGACUCCUACGGGAGGCAGCAGUGGGGAAUUUUGGACAAUGGGCGCAAGCCUGAUCCAGCCAUGCGCGUGAGUGAAGAAGGCC
rnacentral:rRNA from 1 species